rnacentral:rRNA from 1 species
CUCUGAGACGUGAUACCGAGCCGCUUCAGGCGAAGUCAUUGAUCCUAUGCUGCCUAGAAAAGCCCAGCAGCGAGUUGACAUGGUGCCCGUACCCCAAACCAACACAGGUGGACAGGUAGAGCAUACCAAGGCGAGUGGGAUAACUAUGGUUAAGGAACUCGGCAAAUUGCCCCCGUAACUUCGGGAGAAGGAGGACCCCAGUAGCGUGAUGAGACUUGCUCUCUGAGCGUGAAGGGGUGGCACAAAAUUGAGGGAAGCGACUGUUUACCAAAAACACAGCAGCGUGCUAAGCCGUAAGGCGCUGUAUACGCUGUGACUCCUGCCCGGUGCUGGAAGGUUACGGGGAUGGGUUAGUCCUUCGGGACGAAGCUCUGAACCUAAGCCCCAGUAAACGGCGGCCGUAACUAUAACGGUCCUAAGGUAGCGAAAUUCCUUGUCGGGUAAGUUCCGACCUGCACGAAUGGAGUAACGACUUCCCUACUGUCUCAACCAUAGACCCAGCGAAAUUGAAGUACGAGUAAAGAUGCUCGUUAGCUGCAGAAGGACGGAAAGACCCCGUGGACCUUUACUAUAACUUGAUGUUGUGUUUUGUCAUAUGUUGUGUAGGAUAGGUGGGAGACUUGGAAGCAUGGACGCUAGUCUGUGUGGAGUCAUCGUUGAAAUACCACCCUGCAUAUGGUGAGGCUCUAACCUAGACCCGUUAUCCGGGUUGGGGACAGCGUCAGGUGGGUAGUUUAACUGGGGCGGUUGCCUCCUAAAGAGUAACGGAGGCGCCCAAAGGUUCCCUCAGCCUGGUUGGCAAUCAGGCGUUGAGUGCAAUGGCAAAAGGGAGCUUGACUGCGAGACCUACAAGUCGAGCAGGAGCGAAAGCUGGGCAUAGUGAUCCGGCGGUUGCGUGUGGAAGCGCCGUCGCUCAACGGAUAAAAGGUACCCCGGGGAUAACAGGCUAAUCUUGCCCAAGCGUCCAUAGCGACGGCAAGGUUUGGCACCUCGAUGUCGGCUCAUCGCAUCCUGGGGCUGAAGCAGGUCCCAAGGGUUUGGCUGUUCGCCCAUUAAAGCGGUACGCGAGCUGGGUUCAGAACGUCGUGAGACAGUUCGGUCCCUAUCCUCUGCAGCCGGAGGUGAAUUGAGGAAAGCUGUCCCUAGUACGAGAGGACCGGGACGGACGCAGCUCUCGUGUGCCAGUUGUCCCGCCAAGGGCAUGGCUGGUUAGCGACCUGCGGAAAGGAUAACCGCUGAAAGCAUCUAAGCGGGAAGCCUCUUCCAAGAUGAAUUCACCCACAGGGUUAACCUGGUAAGGCCCGUGGUAGACCACCACGUUGAUAGGCCGGAAGUGUAAGCGUGGCAACACGUUCAGCUGACCGGUACUAAUCGGCC